rnacentral:rRNA from 1 species
UACGUAGGUGGCAAGCGUUUGUCCGGAUUUACUGGGCGUAAAGGGCGCGUAGGCGGCCCUCCUUGUCGCGUGUGAAAGCCCCGGGCUCAACCUGGGAAUUGCGCGCGAAACGGGGGGGCUUGAGUUCGGGAGAGGAGCGUGGAAUUCCCAGUGUAGAGGUGAAAUUCGUAGAUAUUGGGAAGAACACCGGUGGCGAAGGCGGCGCUCUGGACCGAGACUGACGCUGAGGCGCGAAAGCUAGGGGAGCGAACGGG